rnacentral:rRNA from 1 species
AGAGUUUGAUCAUGGCUCAGAUUGAACGCUGGCGGCAUGCCUUACACAUGCAAGUCGAACGGCAGCACGGGGGCAACCCUGGUGGCGAGUGGCGAACGGGUGAGUAACGCAUCGGAAUGUACCCAGUAGUGGGGGAUAACUAGUCGAAAGAUUAGCUAAUACCGCAUACGCACUGAGGUGGAAAGCGGGGGAUCGCAAGACCUCGCGCUAUUGGAGCAGCCGAUGUCCGAUUAGGUAGUUGGUGGGGUAAAGGCCUACCAAGCCUGCGAUCGGUAACUGGUCUGAGAGGACGACCAGUCACACUGGGACUGAGACACGGCCCAGACUCCUACGGGAGGCAGCAGUGGGGAAUUUUGGACAAUGGGCGCAAGCCUGAUCCAGCAAUGCCGCGUGUGUGAAGAAGGCCUUCGGGUUGUAAAGCACUUUUGGCGGGAGCGAAACGGCGUUUGCUAAUACCAGACGCUAAUGACGGUACCCGCAGAAUAAGCACCGGCUAACUACGUGCCAGCAGCCGCGGUAAGACGUAGGGUGCGAGCGUUAAUCGGAAUUACUGGGCGUAAAGCGUGCGCAGGCGGCUUUGUAAGACAGGUGUGAAGUCCCCGGGCUUAACCUGGGAACUGCACUUGUGACUGCAAGGCUAGAGUGUGUCAGAGGGAGGUGGAAUUCCGCGUGUAGCAGUGAAAUGCGUAGAUAUGCGGAGGAACACCGAUGGCGAAGGCAGCCUCCUGGGAUAACACUGACGCUCAUGCACGAAAGCGUGGGGAGCAAACAGGAUUAGAUACCCCGGUAGU